GACGUAGGGCGCGAGCGUUGUCCGGAUUUAUUGGGCGUAAAGAGCUCGUAGGCGGCUUGUCGCGUCGUUCGUGAAAACCUGCAGCUCAACUGCAGGCUUGCGGUCGAUACGGGCAGACUAGAGUUCGGUAGGGGAGUCUGGAAUUCCUGGUGUAGCGGUGAAAUGCGCAGAUAUCAGGAGGAACACCGGUGGCGAAGGCGGGACUCUGGGCCGAUACUGACGCUGAGGAGCGAAAGCGUGGGGAGCAAACAGG
rnacentral:rRNA from 1 species